AACGAAUGCUGGCGGCAUGCCUAACACAUGCAAGUCGAACGAGACCUUCGGGUCUAGUGGCGCACGGGUGCGUAACGCGUGGGAACCUGCCCUUAGGUUCGGAAUAACUCCCCGAAAGGGGUGCUAAUACCGGAUAAUGUCUUCGGACCAAAGAUUUAUCGCCUUUGGAUGGGCCCGCGUUGGAUUAGCUAGUUGGUAGGGUAAAAGCCUACCAAGGCGACGAUCCAUAGCUGGUCUGAGAGGAUGAUCAGCCACACUGGGACUGAGACACGGCCCAGACUCCUACGGGAGGCAGCAGUGGGGAAUAUUGGACAAUGGGCGAAAGCCUGAUCCAGCAAUGCCGCGUGAGUGAUGAAGGCCUUAGGGUUGUAAAGCUCUUUUACCCGGGAUGAUCAUGACAGUACCGGGAGAAUAAGCUCCGGCUAACUCCGUG
rnacentral:rRNA from 1 species